UACGUAGGGGGCAAGCGUUGUCCGGAUUUAUUGGGUAACGUAAGAGUCGUGUGAGCGGUUUGGUAGGUCCGUUGUGAAAACUCGAGGCUCAACCUCGAGACGCCGAUGGAAACCAUCAGACUAGAGUCCGGAAGAGGAGAGUGGAAUUCCUGGUGUAGCGGUGAAAUGCGCAGAUAUCAGGAGGAACACCGGUGGCGAAGGCGGGUCUCUGGGCCGAUACUGACGCUGAGGAGCGAAAGCGUGGGGGAGCGAACAGG
rnacentral:rRNA from 1 species